UACGGAGGAUCCGAGCGUUAUCCGGAUUUAUUGGGCUUAAAGGGUGCGUAGGUGGCCUGUUAAGUCAGGGGUGAAAGACGGUAGCUCAACUAUCGCAGUGCCCUUGAUACUGAUGGGCUUGAAUGAACUAGAGGUAGGCGGAAUGUGACAAGUAGCGGUGAAAUGCAUAGAUAUGUCACAGAACACCAAUUGCGAAGGCAGCUUACUAUGGUUUUAUUGACACUGAGGCACGAAAGCGUGGGGAUCAAACAGG
rnacentral:rRNA from 1 species